GACUACCCGGGUAUCUAAUCCUGUUUGAUCCCCACGCUUUCGUCCCUCAGCGUCAGUAUAUACUUAGUAGACUGCCUUCGCAAUCGGUGUUCUGUGUAAUAUCUAUGCAUUUCACCGCUACACUACACAUUCCAUCUACUUCAAUAUAACUCAAGACUAACAGUAUCAAAGGCAGUUCCACAGUUAAGCUGUGGGAUUUCACCUCUGACUUAUUAGUCCGCCUACGGACCCUUUAAACCCAAUGAUUCCGGAUAACGCUUACACCCUCCGUAUUACCGCGGCUGCUGGCACGGAGUUAGCCGGUGUUUAUUCCUAUAGUACCGUCAGCCCCGAUCACGACCGGGGGUUUCUCCCUAUAGAAAAGCAGUUUACAACCCAUAAGGCCGUCUUCCUGCACGCGGCAUGGCUGGUUCAGACUUGCGUCCAUUGACCAAUAUUCCUCACUGCAGCCUCCCGUAGG
rnacentral:rRNA from 1 species